AGGUAAGCUACUAAGAGCGAAUGGUGGAUGCCUUGACUGGUAAAGGCGAUGAAGGACGUACUAGACUGCGAUAAGCUACGGGGAGCUGUCAAGAAGCUUUGAUCCGUAGAUUUCCGAAUGGGGCAACCCAAUGUAUAGAGAUAUACAUUACCUAUAUAGGAGCGAACGAGGGGAAUUGAAACAUCUUAGUACCCUCAGGAAAAGAAAUCAAUAGAGAUUGCGUCAGUAGCGGCGAGCGAAAGCGCAAGAGGGCAAACCCAGUGCUUGCACUGGGGGUUGUAGGACUGCAAUGUGCAAGAGCUGAGUUUAGCAGAACAUUCUGGAAAGUAUAGCCAUAGAGGGUGAUAGUCCCGUAUGCGAAAAACAAAGCUUAGCUAGCAGUAUCCUGAGUAGGGCGGGACACGAGGAAUCCUGUCUGAAUCCGGGUCGACCACGAUCCAACCCUAAAUACUAAUACCAGAUCGAUAGUGCACAAGUACCGUGAGGGAAAGGUGAAAAGAACUGAGGUGAUCAGAGUGAAAUAGAACCUGAAACCAUUUGCUUACAAUCAUUCAGAGCACUAUGUAGCAAUACAGUGUGAUGGACUGCCUUUUGCAUAAUGAGCCUGCGAGUUGUGGUGUCUGGCAAGGUUAAGCAAACGCGAAGCCGUAGCGAAAGCGAGUCUGAAUAGGGCGCUUAGUCAGAUGCUGCAGACCCGAAACGAAGUGAUCUAUCCAUGAGCAAGUUGAAGCUAGUGUAAGAACUAGUGGAGGACUGAACCCAUAGGCGUUGAAAAGCCCCGGGAUGACUUGUGGAUAGGGGUGAAAGGCCAAUCAAACUUCGUGAUAGCUGGUUCUCUCCGAAAUAUAUUUAGGUAUAGCGUUGUGUCGUAAUAUAAGGGGGUAGAGCACUGAAUGGGCUAGGGCAUACACCAAUGUACCAAACCCUAUCAAACUCCGAAUACCUUAUAUGUAAUCACAGCAGUCAGGCGGCGAGUGAUAAAAUCCGUCGUCAAGAGGGAAACAACCCAGACUACCAGCUAAGGUCCCUAAAUCUUACUUAAGUGGAAAACGAUGUGAAGUUACUUAAACAACCAGGAGGUUGGCUUAGAAGCAGCCAUCCUUUAAAGAAAGCGUAAUAGCUCACUGGUCUAGUGAUUUUGCGCGGAAAAUAUAACGGGGCUAAAGUAAGUACCGAAGCUGUAGACUUGCGCACAACUUAGAUUAUUUAAGUUUAGAAUAUGAGAAACUAAGUUAUGUUUAGUUAUAUUUUUACUGAUUUUUAUAGAGUAAAGAUAGAAAUAAAACUUAGUAAAAUCAGUAAAAAUAUUCUUAGGCUAAAGUUAAGUAGUUUAAGUUGUGUGCAAGUGGUAGGAGAGCGUUCUAUUUGCGUCGAAGGUAUACCGGUAAGGAGUGCUGGAGCGAAUAGAAGUGAGCAUGCAGGCAUGAGUAGCGAUAAUUAAUGUGAGAAUCAUUAACGCCGUAAACCCAAGGUUUCCUACGCGAUGCUCGUCAUCGUAGGGUUAGUCGGGUCCUAAGUCGAGUCCGAAAGGGGUAGACGAUGGCAAAUUGGUUAAUAUUCCAAUACCAACAUUAGUGUGCGAUGGAAGGACGCUUAGGGCUAAGGGGGCUAGCGGAUGGAAGUGCUAGUCUAAGGUCGUAGGAGGUUAUACAGGCAAAUCCGUAUAACAAUACUCCGAGAACUGAAAGGCUUUUUGAAGUCUUCGGAUGGAUAGAAGAACCCCUGAUGCCGUCGAGCCAAGAAAAGUUUCUAAGUUUAGCUAAUGUUGCCCGUACCGUAAACCGACACAGGUGGGUGGGAUGAGUAUUCUAAGGCGCGUGGAAGAACUCUCUUUAAGGAACUCUGCAAAAUAGCACCGUAUCUUCGGUAUAAGGUGUGGUUAGCUUUGUAUUAGGAUUUACUCCGAAAGCAAGGAAACUUACAACAAAGAGUCCCUCCCGACUGUUUACCAAAAACACAGCACUCUGCUAACUCGUAAGAGGAUGUAUAGGGUGUGACGCCUGCCCGGUGCUCGAAGGUUAAUUGAUGGGGUUAGCAUUAGCGAAGCUCUUGAUCGAAGCCCGAGUAAACGGCGGCCGUAACUAUAACGGUCCUAAGGUAGCGAAAUUCCUUGUCGGUUAAAUACCGACCUGCAUGAAUGGCGUAACGAGAUGGGAGCUGUCUCAAAGAGGGAUCCAGUGAAAUUGUAGUGGAGGUGAAAAUUCCUCCUACCCGCGGCAAGACGGAAAGACCCCGUGGACCUUUACUACAGCUUGACACUGCUACUUGGAUAAGAAUGUGCAGGAUAGGUGGGAGGCUUUGAGUAUAUGACGCCAGUUGUAUAUGAGCCAUUGUUGAGAUACCACUCUUUCUUAUUUGGGUAGCUAACCA
rnacentral:rRNA from 1 species